rnacentral:rRNA from 1 species
AGCGAACGCUGGCGGCAGGCUUAACACAUGCAAGUCGAGCGGGCGUAGCAAUACGUCAGCGGCAGACGGGUGAGUAACGCGUGGGAACAUACCUUUUGGUUCGGAACAACACAGGGAAACUUGUGCUAAUACCGGAUAAGCCCUUACGGGGAAAGAUUUAUCGCCGAAAGAUUGGCCCGCGUCUGAUUAGCUAGUUGGUGAGGUAACGGCUCACCAAGGCGACGAUCAGUAGCNGGUCUGAGAGGAUGAUCAGCCACAUUGGGACUGAGACACGGCCCAAACUCCUACGGGAGGCAGCAGUGGGGAAUAUUGGACAAUGGCGCAAGCCUGAUCCAGCCAUGCCGCGUGAGUGAUGAAGGCCCUAGGGUUGUAAAGCUCUUUUGUGCGGGAAGAUAAUGACGGUACCGCAAGAAUAAGCCCCGGCUAACUUCGUGCCAGCAGCCGCGGUAAG